UUGAACGCUGGCGGCAGGCCUAACACCUGCAAGUCGCGCGGAUGAAGGGAGCUUGCUCCUGGAUUCAGCGGCGGACGGGUGAGUAAUGCCUAGGAAUCUGCCUGGUAGUGGGGGAUAACGUCCGGAAACGGGCGCUAAUACCGCAUACGUCCUGAGGGAGAAAGUGGGGGAUCUUCGGACCUCACGCUAUCAGAUGAGCCUAGGUCGGAUUAGCUAGUUGGUGGGGUAAGGGCCUACCAAGGCGACGAUCCGUAACUGGUCUGAGAGGAUGAUCAGUCACACUGGAACUGAGACACGGUCCAGACUCCUACGGGAGGCAGCAGUGGGGAAUAUUGGACAAUGGGCGAAAGCCUGAUCCAGCCAUGCCGCGUGUGUGAAGAAGGUCUUCGGAUUGUAAAGCACUUUAAGUUGGGAGGAAGGGCAGUAAGUUAAUACCUUGCUGUUUUGACGUUACCAACAGAAUAAGCACCGGCUAACUUCGUG
rnacentral:rRNA from 1 species